UACGUAGGGUGCAAGCGUUAAUCGGAAUUACUGGGCGUAAAGCGUGCGCAGGCGGCUUUGCAAGACAGAUGUGAAAUCCCCGGGCUUAACCUGGGAACUGCAUUUGUGACUGCAUGGCUGGAGUGCGGGCAGAGGGGGAUGGAAUUCCGGCGUGUAGCAGUGAAAAUGCGUAGAUAUGCGGAGGGAACACCGAUGGCGAAGGCAAUCCCCUGGGCCUGCACUGACGCUCAUGCACGAAGCGUGGGAGCAACAGG
rnacentral:rRNA from 1 species